GGCAGACGGGUGAGUAACGCGUGGGAACAUACCCUUUCCUGCGGAAUAGCUCCGGGAAACUGGAAUUAAUACCGCAUACGCCCUACGGGGGAAAGAUUUAUCGGGGAAGGAUUGGCCCGCGUUGGAUUAGCUAGUUGGUGGGGUAAAGGCCUACCAAGGCGACGAUCCAUAGCUGGUCUGAGAGGAUGAUCAGCCACAUUGGGACUGAGACACGGCCCAAACUCCUACGGGAGGCAGCAGUGGGGAAUAUUGGACAAUGGGCGCAAGCCUGAUCCAGCCAUGCCGCGUGAGUGAUGAAGGCCUUAGGGUUGUAAAGCUCUUUCACCGGAGAAGAUAAUGACGGUAUCCGGAGAAGAAGCCCCGGCUAACUUCGUGCCAGCAGCCGCGGUAAUACGAAGGGGGCUAGCGUUGUUCGGAAUUACUGGGCGUAAAGCGCACGUAGGCGGAUAUUUAAGUCAGGGGUGAAAUCCCAGAGCUCAACUCUGGAACUGCCUUUGAUACUGGGUAUCUUGAGUAUGGAAGAGGUAAGUGGAAUUCCGAGUGUAGAGGUGAAAUUCGUAGAUAUUCGGAGGAACACCAGUGGCGAAGGCGGCUUACUGGUCCAUUACUGACGCUGAGGUGCGAAAGCGUGGGGAGCAAACAGG
rnacentral:rRNA from 1 species